UACCUGGUUGAUCCUGCCAGUAGUCAUAUGCUUGUCUUAAAGAUUAAGCCAUGCAUGUCUAAGUAUAAGCAUUUAUACCGCGAGACUGCGAACGGCUCAUUAAAACAGUUAUGGUUUAUUUGAUGGUUCCUUUGCUACUUGGAUAACCGUAGUAAUUCUAGGGCUAAUACAUGCACGAAAGCCCAACUCACGACGGGCUGUAUUUAUUAGAUAAAACACCAAUUCCCCUCGGGGAUCCGGUGAGUCAUAGUAACUUAUCGAAUCGCAUGGCCUUGUGCCGGCGAUAGGUCAUUCAAAUUUCUGCCCUAUCAGCUUUCGAAGGUAGGAUAUGGGCCUACCUUGGCGGUGACGGGUGACGGAGAAUUAGGGUUCGAUUCCGGAGAGGGAGCCUGAGAAACGGCUACCACAUCCAGGGAAGGCAGCAGGCGCGCAAAUUACCCAAUCCUGACACAGGGAGGUAGUGACAAGAAAUAACAAAGCAGGCAACUAUGUUGUUUUGCUAUUGGAAUGAGUAGAAUUUAAAUCUCUUUACGACUAUCAAUUGGAGGGCAAGUCUGGUGCCAGCAGCCGCGGUAAUUCCAGCUCCAAUAGCGUAUAUUAAAGUUGUUGCGGUUAAAAAGCUCGUAGUCGGAUUUCAGAUCGAAAUUGUAUUGGCACUUACCUGUGUUAGUCAAGUUUGGUCUUUCUUUCAGAAGCUAUCAUCGACUUUUAUGACGGUGAUGUGUGACUGAAUCGUUUACUUUGAGAAAAUCAGAGUGCUCAAAGCAGGUUUAGCCUGAAUGACACUCUUGGAAUAAUGAUAUAGGACUCCGGUUCUAUUCGUUGGUCUUGGGGACCGGAGUAAUGAUUAAUAGGGACGGUUGGGGGCAUCCGUACUUCGAAGCGAGAGGUGAAAUUCUUGGACCUUCGGAAGACGAACCACUGCGAAAGCAUUUGCCUAGGACGUCCCCGUUGAUCAAGAACGAAAGUUGUGGGAUCGAAGACGAUCAGAUACCGUCGUAGUCGCAACCAUAAACUAUGCCAGCUAGGGAUCAGUGGAAGUUUACUAACGACUCCAUUGGCACCUUACGGGAAACCAAAGCAUUUGGGUUCCGGGGGGAGUAUGGUCGCAAGGCUGAAACUUAAAGGAAUUGACGGGAGGGCACCACCAGGAGUGGAGCCUGUGGCUUAAUUUGACUCAACACGGGAAAACUUACCAGGUCCGGACACAGUAAGGAUUGACAGAUUGAAAGCUCUUUCUUGAUUCUGUGGGUGGUGGUGCAUGGCCGUUCUUAGUUGGUGGAGUGAUUUGUCUGGUUAAUUCCGUUAACGAACGAGACCUCAGCCUGCUAGUCUAGUUACAGUCAGUUCCGUCUGGCUUGUAUACUUCUUAGAGGGACAAUUGGAUUUUAACCAAGGGAAGCUUGAGGCAAUAACAGGUCUGUGAUGCCCUUAGAUGUUCUGGGCCGCACACGGGCUACACUGGCGCAUUCAACGAGUUUCAUAGACCUGGUUCGAAAGAAUUGGGAAAUCUGUGAAUCUGCGCCGUGCUUGGGAUAGACAAUUGCAACUUUUUGUCUUCAACGAGGAAUUCCUAGUAAACGCGCGUCAACAACGCGCAUUGAUUACGUCCCUGCCCUUUGUACACACCGCCCGUCGCUCCUACCGAUUGGAUGAUUUGGUGAGCUCUCGGGAGUUGAAUUGGCAGCUUAGCAAUAGGCAGCUGGAUCGACAAACUUGAUCAAACCCAGUCAUCUAGAGGAAGGAGAAGUCGUAACAAGGUUUCCGUAGGUGAACCUGCAGAAGGAUC
rnacentral:rRNA from 1 species